rnacentral:rRNA from 1 species
UACGUAGGGGGCAAGCGUUGUCCGGAAUCAUUGGGCGUAAAGCGCGUGUAGGCGGUUCAGUAAGUCUGCUGUGAAAGUCCAGGGCUCAACCCUGGGAUGCCGGUGGAUACUGUCGGGCUUGAGUACGGAAGAGGCGAGUGGAAUUCCUGGUGUAGCGGUGAAAUGCGCAGAUAUCAGGAGGAACACCAAUUGCGAAGGCAGCUCGCUGGGACGUUACUGACGCUGAGACGCGAAAGCGUGGGGAGCAAACAGG